GACGAACGCUGGCGGCGUGCUUAACACAUGCAAGUCGAACGGAAAGGCCCUGCUUUUGUGGGGUGCUCGAGUGGCGAACGGGUGAGUAACACGUGAGUAACCUGCCCUUGACUUUGGGAUAACUUCAGGAAACUGGGGCUAAUACCGGAUAGGAGCUCCUGCUGCAUGGUGGGGGUUGGAAAGUUUCGGCGGUUGGGGAUGGACUCGCGGCUUAUCAGCUUGUUGGUGGGGUAGUGGCUUACCAAGGCUUUGACGGGUAGCCGGCCUGAGAGGGUGACCGGCCACAUGGGGACUGAGAUACGGCCCAGACUCCUACGGGAGGCAGCAGUGGGGAAUAUUGCACAAUGGGCGGAAGCCUGAUGCAGCAACGCCGCGUGCGGGAUGACGGCCUUCGGUGUAAACCGCUUUCGCCUGUGACGAAGCGUGAGUGACGGUAAUGGGUAAAGAAGCACCGGCUAACUACGUG
rnacentral:rRNA from 1 species